UACGUAGGGUGCAAGCGUUGUCCGGAAUUAUUGGGCGUAAAGAGCUCGUAGGCGGUCUGUCGCGUCUGCUGUGAAAACUCGGGGCUUAACCCCGGGCCUGCAGUGGGUACGGGCAGACUAGAGUGCGGUAGGGGAGACUGGAAUUCCUGGUGUAGCGGUGAAAUGCGCAGAUAUCAGGAGGAACACCGAUGGCGAAGGCAGGUCUCUGGGCUGUAACUGACGCUGAGGAGCGAAAGCGUGGGGAGCGAACAGG
rnacentral:rRNA from 1 species